CUCUAGGAAGAGACAGCAGUUUAAGAAUGCAAGUCUAGUAAGACUGUUGCAAGAAGAUUUUAUAUUGGUAUACAAGAAGCAAAGGCAGGAAGACACAAAGAUGUUAAAGAGGGGAGGUAGGAAAUAAUGGCUAUUUGGUGCACCCAUGUUCAUCUUGUGUUUGGUUGUACAGGAAGCGGUUGUCCAUUUUGCCUGGAGGAGCAUUUGUGAAGCACUGUUCUGAGGAAUAAUCCAGUCUCCCACUCCACCAUAGCUGAAUGGAUUGCUGCUGAGAUCCCUGGGCCAGGGGUGCAGUGUCAGUUUCACAGGAGUCUUGCUUAGCAGGAUGAUGCUGGUGUGACCACUGUGAACAAGGCCAGUGUGGCUUUCUGUGUGUGCCUGCAAUUAGAUUGGUGGAUCCCUACAUUGCAGAGAUCAGAAUAACUGCUGCAGCCCUCCAGCGCAGCAGCUUGAUCCAGAACACAGCUGCUAUGAAAUUCUAUAUAUGACCCACCUUCGACAUGAAAAUCUUUGCUACUUCGUUGAUGAUCCUGUCUCUUGUUUUGAGUUCUGUGCUAAUAAGUAAUGAAAAUGUUACAGCCUUACAGCUUGUUUUGUGGUUGCAAUUAUGUAAUCAUUAUUAAUGAAGCAACAAUGUCAAAACUGUGUGAAACCAAACUCACAUUUAAGCACUUACAAUAAACAGAUAUAAAACAA